UAACGUACAGUAUGAAUUUGGUUAGGA
rnacentral:piRNA from 1 species